rnacentral:rRNA from 1 species
UACGUAGGGGGCAAGCGUUAUCCGGAUUUACUGGGUGUAAAGGGAGCGUAGACGGAAUAGCAAGUUUGGAGUGAAAUACCUGGGCUUAACCCAGGAAUUGCUUUGAAAACUGUUGAUCUAGAGUACUGGAGGGGUAUGGGGAAUUCCUAGUGUAGUGGUAAAAUGCGUAGAUAUUAGGAGGAACACCGGAGGCGAAGGCGCCAUACUGGACAGAUACUGACGUUGAGGCUCGAAAGCGUGGGGAG